UGGCUGUGAUGACAAAAAGGUUAUUUGGUUGAUUAUGAUUACUUAAUGCCAUAUAAGGAUCAAAACGUGAUGACCUUAUUUGUGCGUGUCUGAGCCGA
rfam:Zea mays cultivar B73 chromosome 1, whole genome shotgun sequence.